AUGGACAUGAGGGCCCCUGCUCAGCUCCUUGGGCUCCUGCUGCUCUGGUUACCAGGUUCCAGAUGUGACAUCCAGAUGACCCAGGCUCCAUCCUCCCUGUCUGCAUCUCUGGGAGACAGAGUCACCAUCACUUGCCAGGCCAGUCAGGGUAUAGGCUUUGCUUUAAACUGGUACCAACAAAAAACAGGGAAAGCUCCAAAGCUUCUGAUUUAUGGUGCAGAUAGGUUGGCAGAUGAAGUCCCAUCGAGGUUCAGUGGCAGUGGGUAUGGAACAGAUUUUUCUCUCACCAUCAGCAGCCUAGAGCCUGAAGAUAUUGCAACUUAUUACUGUCUGCAAAUUAAUAAUACCCCUCCCACAGUGAUACAUGUUAUAACAUAA